rnacentral:misc_RNA from 1 species
UUCAGAGAUGGUUCAGAUCCCUCUUCAUAUUCAGGGAAAAUCAUUGAGUGUUCUUGGGAUUCAGAUGAACAGGUAUGGGUUUGUAUGCGGGUCCGGACAGAUAAAUCUUCGCCAAAUGAUUUUAAUACCUACAGAAAGGUGAUGCGAAGCAUCAAGGACAAUAUAACGGAGGACAUCUUGUUGAAUGAGAUUUAUGAGAUUAUUCGCCUGCCCAUGUAUGCUGAUAGGAUUAGAAAUGAUAGUAAAGCUCACCAGCACACAGCUUCAGCACGACGCAGGUGAUUGGCAGUGGUGUAUGGUCACUAUGGUUUUUUUGGCAAGGCCACUAUGGUUAAAGUCUUUUAAAUGGUUUAGGUAGAGGAAUCCAGUGAUAUGUACUUCUGAUGCUCCUGCAUAGUGAUGCUCGGUGGUUCAGUUGGGUGAGGAUAUCAUCUAGAGGGUCAAUGAGAUGUUAUGUAAUUAGCUAAAACCUUGUGCUGGUGAGUUCUAUGAUCCAGAUGGUACACUCAGGGAUAGUUUUCUACAUCAGACCCAAAAU